rnacentral:rRNA from 1 species
ACGGGAGGCAGCAGUGGGGAAUAUUGCACAAUGGGCGCAAGCCUGAUGCAGCGACGCCGCGUGAGCGAUGAAGUAUUUCGGUAUGUAAAGCUCUAUCAGCAGGGAAGAAAAUGACGGUACCUGACUAAGAAGCCCCGGCUAACUACGUGCCAGCAGCCGCGGUAGUACGUAGGGGGCAAGCGUUAUCCGGAUUUACUGGGUGUAAAGGGAGCGUAGACGGCGAUGCAAGUCUGAAGUGAAAGCCCGGGGCUCAACCCCGGGACUGCUUUGGAAACUGUGUUGCUAGAGUGCAGGAGAGGUAAGCGGAAUUCCUAGUGUAGCGGUGAAAUGCGUAGAUAUUAGGAGGAACACCGGUGGCGAAGGCGGCUUACUGGACUGUAACUGACGUUGAGGCUCGAAAGCGUGGGGAGCAAACAGGAUUAGAUACCCUGGUA